UCUAUAAAAUGGAUAAGAUUUUUGUCGUAAAGUUAAAGUAUACGAGUUAAAGUAAAAGAGCAAUAUCAACAGAGUUGAUAUUGCUCUUUUACUUUUUUUAUUUAACAGUUUUUUUUUAUAUACAUAUAUAUAUUGUGGAUUUGCUUCAACAUGUUUUAGUAUUCUUUAUUUCAAGAUACGAUAAAAGAUUUUAAAAAAUACGAUAAUACAUUUCAAAAAUUGAAGUUUCAUUUUUUUUUUUGAAUUUAUAUCUUUUUCUCAUCUAUUUUUUGAUCUUUUUGUGAUACCUAUGACCUUACAAUGGAAAAAUGUUUUCCUUUUUUCUUAUAGUCUUUAAGAAUAUUUAGAAGACUUCUAAAAACGUAGAAGAUGAAGAAAACAGACUGAGAAUAAUGAAAGAC
rnacentral:misc_RNA from 1 species